rnacentral:misc_RNA from 4 species
GUAAAGAACAAGUGGCACGUUCCAGUGACUAUCUCGAUGGGCAAUUGACCUUUCGCGAACGUCUGCUGGUGCGUCAUCACUUGAUGUUCUGCCCCAACUGCCGACGGUUUAUCCGCCAGAUGCGCCUGCUGCAGGCGACGUUGCGGAUGCUGCCGCAGGAACCGGUGAAGGAUGUGGAUGCCUUGGCGCAGCGGCUGGCUGCCGAGCGGCUCAAGGAUCAGAAA